rnacentral:rRNA from 1 species
GUAGGUGGCAAGCGUUGUCCGGAAUUAUUGGGCGUAAAGCGCGCGCAGGCGGUCCUUUAAGUCUGAUGUGAAAGCCCACGGCUCAACCGUGGAGGGUCAUUGGAAACUGGGGGACUUGAGUACAGAAGAGGAAAGCGGAAUUCCAAGUGUAGCGGUGAAAUGCGUAGAGAUUUGGAGGAACACCAGUGGCGAAGGCGGCUUUCUGGUCUGUAACUGACGCUGAGGCGCGAAAGCGUGGGGAGCAAACAGGGAUUAGAUACCCUGGUAGUCCACGCCGUAAACGAUGAGUGCUAAGUGUUAGGGGGUUUCCCGCCCCCUUAGUGCUGCAGCUAACGCAUUAAGCACUCCCGCCUGGGGAGUACGGCCGCAAGGCUG